UACGUAGGGGGCAAGCGUUGUCCGGAAUCAUUGGGCGUAAAGAGCGCGUAGGCGGCCCUGUAAGUCCGCUGUGAAAGUCAAGGGCUCAACCCUUGAAUGCCGGUGGAUACUGCAGGGCUAGAGUCCGGAAGAGGCGAGUGGAAUUCCUGGUGUAGCGGUGAAAUGCGCAGAUAUCAGGAGGAACACCGAUGGCGAAGGCAGGUCUCUGGGCAUUAACUGACGCUGAGGAGCGAAAGCGUGGGGAGCGAACAGG
rnacentral:rRNA from 1 species